rnacentral:rRNA from 1 species
UGGGGAAUAUUGGGCAAUGGGGGGAACCCUGACCCAGCAACGCCGCGUGAGGGAAGAAGGUUUUCGGAUUGUAAACCUCUGUUCUUGGAGAGGAGUGUAAGACGUUAUCCAAGGAGGAAGCCCCGGCUAACUACGUGCCAGCAGCCGCGGUAAUACGUAGGGGGCGAGCGUUGUCCGGAAUGAUUGGGCGUAAAGGGCGCGCAGGCGGCCCGACAAGUCAGUAGUGGAAGUCCAUUUUUCAAGGGUGGAAGUGCUCUUGAAACUGUAGGGCUUGAGUGCGGGAGAGGUUAUCGGAAUUCCCGGUGUAGCGGUGAAAUGCGUAGAGAUCGGGAGGAACACCAGUGGCGAAGGCGGGUAACUGGACCGCAACUGACGCUGAGGCGCGAAAGUGUGGGGAGCAAACAG